rnacentral:tRNA from 1 species
GCGAGCGUGGCGGAAUUGGUAGACGCCCUACUUUUAGGUGGUAGUGCCUGAAUAGGCGUGGGGGUUCGAGUCCCCCCGCUCGCA